GAACACUCCACCGGUCACAGAGAGGGAAAGCUGCCUAGUCGGAUGUGAAGAAGAACAAAGUGCAUAUUAAGGGCCUAGCCAUGCAGGGGCUCAGCAAUCCAGAUCCACCCUUGGCACUCGAAUCCUCCUUACCUUGAGGCUCUUGCCAGCCAAAAUAGUGGAAAGUGGGUGCAGCCGAGGCUCACAGCUCCACUGAGGGAGAGAAGAUCCAGCAGAACUCUAGAGAGCAGGACAGGGUUGCUUCUCCUGAGGUGCGGCAGGAAGUAAUGGGAGCAGGUGGAAGACUGGAGAACCAUUACCCCUUCUCUUGAUUGCAAGGACUCCGUCACAGAGCACCUUAAAAGGAACUCUUCUGAGCAUGUGCAGACAGCAUGUCUCUUCCUAGCCACAAGUAAACUCCACACACCCAGGAUUGAGAGAAAGGACUUCCAGGUCAGAGGGCAUAACUUCCAGCAGUAGAAAAAUGGAAUCCUGGCAUUCAUCUUUUUUUAAAACUUUCUGCCAUCAGUCCGAAAGUGUCAUCUUGCAUUCCACUCCAGUAGGCAAUAAAACCACUCCACUCAUGAAUGAAAGAGGAGUAAGGUGGCAGACAUUAAAGAGGACAGACAGAAAGGGAAAGGAAGACAUAUCCCUCAGCGUUACCGUAUAUGAUCCCCAUGCCUUGGCAGGAGAGAGGAGAUUACUUGAUGCUGUUAUUGAUCCUUUUAUCAUGAUCUUAAGUGGGUUGCAGCUGCAAGUCAUAUUGAUGCCAUGACUUUGUUUCUACAAAAAGAUAAUUCUUUAAACACCUACAUUGUCUUGUCUUAUGCACAACAGCCUGCUCAAUUUUUCAGCAAGUGCUAAUGGAUUUGUUUCCUAUAAAUGUGCUCCUUGGAAUGAACUUCUUGGUAAUGUGUUAUUCUUUCCCCUGCCUUAUGCACAGAACUGAAUCAGUGAUUUAUUUAUUUUUUAAAGGAACCCAUAGCAAUACCUAUAGUUUUAGAGAGUGGCACUGAAACAUCUAAUUUCAAUGCAUUGGAAGCUUUUUUUUUUUUUUAAAGGUGAAGUAAACACACUUUGUCCUUGAGUUUCUGAUUAGAAAAUAUAUACAAAGAUUAUUCCAAUGUGAAAGUGGAACAGACUUUUGUAAAAUAUCCACCCAUCUAUUGUUAGGGCACCUACAGUCAGAAUAUCUCAAGAAAGAUGUAUAAUGAUGCUGCUCUGAUUCACUUAGUAUUUGUUUAAUAAAGAUGCUGUUUGUCAAGGA